rnacentral:rRNA from 1 species
GUAGGUGGCAAGCGUUGUCCGGGAAUUAUUGGGCGUAAAGCGCGCGCAGGCGGUUCUUUAAGUCUGAUGUGAAAGCCCACGGGCUCAACCGUGGAGGGUCAUUGGAAACUGGAGAACUUGAGUACAGAAGAGGAAAGCGGAAUUCCACGUGUAGCGGUGAAAUGCGUAGAGAUGUGGAGGAACACCAGUGGCGAAGGCGGCUUUCUGGUCUGUAACUGACGCUGAGGCGCGAAAGCGUGGGGAGCAAACAGGAUUAGAUACCCUGGUAGUCCACGCCGUAAACGAUGAGUGCUAAGUGCUAGGGGGUUUCCGCCCCUUAGUGCUGCAGCUAACGCAUUAAGCACUCCGCCUGGGGAGUACGGCCGCAAGGCUG